AAGGGGGUCUGAACACAAAGAACUGCUAAUUC
rnacentral:tRNA from 1 species